rnacentral:rRNA from 1 species
GAUGAACGCUGGCGGCGUGCCUAAUACAUGCAAGUCGAGCGAACGGACGAGAAGCUUGCUUCUCUGAUGUUAGCGGCGGACGGGUGAGUAACACGUGGAUAACCUACCUAUAAGACUGGGAUAACUUCGGGAAACCGGAGCUAAUACCGGAUAAUAUUUUGAACCGCAUGGUUCAAAAGUGAAAGACGGUCCUGCUGUCACUUAUAGAUGGAUCCGCGCUGCAUUAGCUAGUUGGUAAGGUAACGGCUUACCAAGGCAACGAUGCAUAGCCGACCUGAGAGGGUGAUCGGCCACACUGGAACUGAGACACGGUCCAGACUCCUACGGGAGGCAGCAGUAGGGAAUCUUCCGCAAUGGGCGAAAGCCUGACGGAGCAACGCCGCGUGAGGGAUGAAGGUCUUCGGAUCGUAAAACUCUGUUAUUAGGGAAGAACAGAUGUGUAAGUAACUGUGCACAUCAUGACGGUACCUAAACAGAAAGCCACGGCUAACUACGUG